CGUUCAAAUUUUCAUUUUUUUCUUUCAUUGAAUGUAUAUGGGGUAGGAGACUGUUGAGAAAAUAACAGCAACCUAAUACAUGACACAAUCUCCCCACAACUGGUACCCCUGUCUCACCAGUCAGUCGUGACAGGUAUUGGCUUCAUUCUAAGCAUGUGUGAGCUAAUGAUGCUAAGCACCAACCCUUGGGGAUGAUCCUGCUAGGGAUGGAUUAUGUCGACAUUUUUCUCUUCAUCAUAUCAUCCUCUUAACUUUGGGCAGUCAUCAGGAGCCAGCAUUUUUAGCUACAAAUAACUUUCUUAGGGCACCACCUAGCAAUCUGGUUGUUGGGCAUUAGGUUUGGUAAGUGUCAGCUUUUUUGAGGGAAAUGUAGCUUUCUGAUGUAGCCAUUAUGCUAUCUCAAAUGGUUGUGAUUCCCUUUUAUUUAUUAGCUCUGUCAAUUCUUUCAAUGAAACAUGUCUGAAAGAAACAGCUCUGUCUCGCUUUGUGCUAGAUAGUUACCAAUCACUGCUACGUGUAAUGUUUGUGAAAAGGGCCUAGGAUUUGUCAUGGAUAAUCAAAUUUUAGGUAACCCUUUGGAGCAUAUGAUUUGUAUUUAACCAAUAUGCAAAAAACAUAAUACCUAACUUGGAUGCUUUUCCUUGUGGCCUUAUGUCUGCAUGUAUCCAUUACCUUUUAAGGCAGGUAUGGUCAUCCCGGUAGGACUAAACUUUCAUGGUCUACCCCUGUGCUGGAAAGUUUGCCAUUUACUCGCUUCUGAUUGAGUGCUUGAUGUUUAACGAGAAGACAUGGACAUUUGUUGUGGAGCAUUUGGAUGGUCAGCUAACAAUCAAGCAGAAACCAGGCUAUGAAAACAGUAGGUCAUCAGCUCCAAUGCAUGUUCUGGCCAUUUGUGAGGAGGUUCUAUAUAUGCUAUAAAGGCUUUUCCUUCUUAAUGGCCAAACGAGGGAAUCAAUUUUUGUAUGGAGUUUGAGCCCAAAUUGUUAUCUGUUUGCUUGUUCUUGUAGUUUUGCUGAGAUAUGUUUGAUCUUUGGCUUUCUUGGAGCGUAA